rnacentral:lncRNA from 1 species
AUGUCGCGAGCUACGGUUAGAUGAAAGAACUCGUUUGCGUGGUUGCCAAUAGUACUUUUGCAGGCGUAUUAGGGGAGGUCGGGCGUACAUGACAUUUGAGGCAUAGUUGUCACUACUUCCGCAGUGUAGGAUCGCUUGAUCCUUUACUCUUCUUUUAUAUCCCUGUGUAUAGUAGUAUUGCUCUGCAUAACCUUGGGAUUGGUAUUUUUGAGUUUUGUGUUUUGUGAAAGUGGAGUUGUUGGUAAUUGGGAGCAGGGUGGCUCCAGGAGUAUAAGGUUGAUUUGCUUGAAGUGUUUAGUGUGUUUUACAGGUUUUUGGGUAGUCCAUUUUAGAGGUGACUCUGCCGAAUUUUUGGUAGAGUUAUCCCUAAGGUGGGCCCCACAGGGCCACCUCGGGUUUCAGGGUGAAAUUCGGGGUGGGUCCU